CGCGCAGAGAGAGAGAGAGAGCCACGUCCCUGUUGCAAAAUAAGCCGUAGGCUUCUUCACUGUGAAGCAAACACAAGUUUUUGACAGAAGUGAAGAACACAUACACUCAAGAUCUCGAUGCAAUUCUCACACGAAUAAGAAAAAAACACAAACAAACACAGAACCGAGAAACAACAAGAGAUCCGCCGGAAAAAAACCAAACGGUAAGGAAAAGGCGUACUUAUCGCCGGAGGAGAAGCUGUAGAGCUUGCCGGAGGCGGAGACGACGAGAAGAGCGACGGAUGCGUCACAGAGAACAGAAAGCUGACGAGCUUUCUCGAUGAGACCGUUGCGACGUUUGGAGAAGGUGACUUGUCGGCUACUUUUGUUCUCAAUUCGCUUGAUUUCUAGUUUUUUUCUUCCCAUGGCUUCUCUCCGAGAGGGCUUUGUGCCCUAAUUUGAUCCUCAGGUUUGGGUUCAAGUCGCCGGAGAUACUAAGCGUUUUCUCUUUCUAUUUUUUUUUUUCCUUUUCUCGCUUUAUUUCUUUCUAUUUUUUGUGCCUAUCUACUUUUUCUUCGUCGGGCCAGAUAUUUUUUUUUUUUUGGGGGUAAACGAGAGUGAUGCAAAAAAACCAAAUAUGUGAAUAAAAACGUUGUGUUUUGAAGACAAGAUUGCCACGUGUACCGC